AUGCGCGCGAAGUCCUGGAAGCCGACGAAGCCGUCGCCGUCGGCGUCGACGCCGCCGAUCAUGCGGCGGCAGUCGUCGAGGCUGCACCCGUCCGCCUCGCCGCCGAGGAUGGCGAGCAGCACGCCGCGGAGCUCCUCGGCGGUGAUGCGGCCGUCGCCGUCGGCGUCGAACACGUUGAACGCCUCCAUCAGCUCGUCCUCGGGGCCGGCCUCCCCGGCGGCGGCGAUGGCCGCCACGGCGUCGAGCUCGUCGUCGGAGGGCUCCUCGUGGCCCAGCCGCCGGAGCACGGCCUCCAGCUCCCGCCGCGAGAUCUCCGCGGGCAGCACCGACCGCGGCGUCGACGCCCGCGGCAGCGCGUCCUCGGAGGAGGACGAGGUGGUGGAGGAGGAGGACGCCGACGCGAACGACGGCGCCUCGCUCCGGGAGAUGCCGCGCUUGCCGCCGUCCUGCUGCUGCUGCUGCUUCUUGCCCCGCUUGGGCGACGGGAUGGAGAGCUUCCGGGCCAGCGACUGCAUGGAGAGCUUCAUCUUCGAGCAGAGAAACAAUGGAGAGGAGAGGAGCUGCUCAAAGGAGAUGAAUGCGGAUGGAAAGAUGGAUUGA
rnacentral:rRNA from 1 species